AUGGCCUCUUGGAUCAUUUCCGGUCGCAAGAUCUCUUUGGCUCCUUCAGCACUUUGUUCAUUAUUUUAUUCUCUUAGAAGGAUCAGUAUGCUCCCUGUUGCUCCCUCUUAUGAGAAGAGAAUUCGGCCAGUGCAUUAUAUUGCAGGGUGGAUGGGUCUUUAUAUAAAAAAGGCAUAUAAGGACAAAGUGAAAGGGAAACAUCUUCCAGAUGUUAAGCAAUUGCCGAUGCAACCAACCAUGGUUAAAACUAUGUUUCGGGUUCCCACAAGAUUCAGUCCCGCUAAGGCACGCACUUUCCUUGAUGACCAAGCCAAUAAUUUUUUGGAAUCCUUAUACUCCAAACAACUUAGUCGGGGUGGAUCAGUUGCAAAGGUCCUUCACCAUUUCUUCCCAUCGGGGUAUGCUUCCAUGGAGGCGUGCUACUGA
rnacentral:rRNA from 1 species